UAGUGAAGCACAGCAUCUCACACUUGCCACAUAACAGGCCAGCAUAUCUCAGCACAAUCAUGCGUCAACUGUGUCUUACCUUUAUCCUUUUAGUCGCAGUAGCAGAAGCUGUGAAUCUGCAUCAGGAGCAGUUAACAGUGACCAAAGCUUCAGGCAAAUCCGGUGUUAUUGAAUGCAGAGCUACAGGCUUCAGCACUAGUAACAUUCACUGGUAUCAGCAAAGAGAUGGAGAAGCUCUGAGGUGGAUCCUGUUCAUGUAUAAAGAUGGUGGAAAACCAACCAAGGAUCCUGAUUUUGAGGAUUACCAAGCAGAAAAGGAAGACAGUUCUGACAAAUUCACACUGACAAUCCCUACCCUAAAUACAGAUCAUGAAGCCACAUACUACUGUGCUAGCUUGGAUAAGCACAAUGAGAACCAGGUCAGGAAACCCAAAGUGACCGUGUACCAGGAGUCCAAACCUGAGCUGAAUGGGAACACCAUCCUACUGCGUCUGGCUAGAGACAUGUUUCCAGACUUAGUCAAGAUCUCAUGGAAGAUGGAGGAUGAAAACGGCCGAACCGUGGAGGUGCCCAAAGCAGAGAGGGAAGAGCUGGAGCAGAGGGAGGAAGGACAGACGACCAGUAUGAUCAUCAUUAAUCAAGGAAAGGCAAAUGCCAAAAACAUAUUUCAGUUUACUUCCUGA